AGCGACUGACAACAAAUACAGGAAGUAAAGGAAGACUCAACGGGGGAGAAAAAGUGUGACAAGUGUACGUGGAGAGAAAAGUCUAGCCAGUGAAGAGGGCGUGGAGGUUUCACACAGUUUCAGUCCCUGUUCCGGUCAUACGAGGAGUCGGACUGGUUUCACAGGUCCAGAUUUUUACCCACUGGGAGACGGACAUCGGUUUUCACCGGCAGAAGGAAUCGUUCAAUCACCGAUCCUGCUUUAUUGAUCUGAUUAUUGGACUUCAGAAGUGGAUUCCUGUCAAAACUCACCAGAUAUGUCACAGUACGAUGCAGAAAAAGGGUUAGAAAUGCCACUGAAUCAUAUACCUGGCUCAGCUGAAGAUCAACAGGAGGAUGAUCCUAAUAUAAAACACCACAGGAAACAAAGGAAGGACAAAGACAACAUAGAAAACCACAGGAAACUGGCCAUUUGCAGCAUCAUCUGUGGUUGCUCCUGUUUGGGAUACAAGGCUCUGGAAAAUUCAUUCCAGGCUGAUCAUGAAGAGGACAAAGACAAAAAACUAAAGUAUUCACAAGAGGC